rnacentral:rRNA from 1 species
GACGAACGCUGGCGGCGUGCUUAACACAUGCCAGUCGAACGGAAAGGCCCUGCUUUUGUGGGGUGCUCGAGUGGCGAACGGGUGAGUAACACGUGAGUAACCUGCCCUUGACUUUGGGAUAACUUCAGGAAACUGGGGCUAAUACCGGAUAGGAGCUCCUGCUGCAUGGUGGGGGUUGGAAAGUUUCGGCGGUUGGGGAUGGACUCGCGGCUUAUCAGCUUGUUGGUGGGGUAGUGGCUUACCAAGGCUUUGACGGGUAGCCGGCCUGAGAGGGUGACCGGCCACAUUGGGACUGAGAUACGGCCCAGACUCCUACGGGAGGCAGCAGUGGGGAAUAUUGCACAAUGGGCGGAAGCCGGAUGCAGCAACGCCGCGUGCGGGAUGACGGCCUUCGGGUUGUAAACCGCUUUCGCCUGUGACGAAGCGUGAGGGACGGUAAUGGGUAAAGAAGCACCGGCUAACUAAGU